rnacentral:sRNA from 15 species
AUGCAGUGGGAUGAAGCAAUCCACGGGUCUUAGAAAAGAUAGGCAAGUUGGAGUGGAGGAGUUUUAAACUGCAGGGCAGUUAUGUUGCUCGAAUUUGUUCAAAAAUAUCGACAAAUACAUGUUGGAUUCUCCAAAUUCAACGUGAUUAUAACAACAUCUCUGGAGAGUCCGAGCAAACAUAAUUCCUCCCUAUACAAUUUCAAGUUUGCUCAUACUUAGCCAAAUUAUGUGUGGAUAUAUGGCAAAAGGAUGGCAAACCGGCAAGUCACAAAACGGCAAUUGUGGACUCCGUUUUGGAGUCUU